rnacentral:rRNA from 1 species
AUUGAGGGGGGCUGCUCCUAGUACGAGAGGACCGGAGUGGACGCAUCACUGGUGUUCGGGUUGUCAUGCCAAUGGCACUGCCCGGUAGCUAAAUGCGGAAGAGAUAAGUGCUGAAAGCAUCUAAGCACGAAACUUGCCCCGAGAUGAGUUCUCCCUGACCCUUUAAGGGUCCUGAAGGAACGUUGAAGACGACGACGUUGAUAGGCCGGGUGUGUAAGCGCAGCGAUGCGUUGAGCUAACCGGUACUAAUGAACCGUGAGGCUUAACCUUACAACGCCGAAG